rnacentral:miRNA from 1 species
ACGGGUAUUCUCGGGCGGAUAAU